AAAAAUAACUUCACACACACACACACACACACACACACACACACACACACAGACAGAGAGAGGGAGAGAGAGAGAGAGAGAGAGAGAGAGAGAGAGAGAGAGAGAGAGAAGGAAGACAUUCUAGCAUUUUCAUGACUUGUUAGAAUCAAAUACUUUACUAAAUGUGCAUUUGGGGAUGAAGAAGUCAGAGGGGCAUAAAACAGUAUUUAGUCGCAUACUUGCUAGAAUAUGAUCAAGAGAGCAACCAAUAUGUGCGGUAUUCAGAAACUUCCCACUCAGAUAACACAAAAACAAUUUUUACUUUGGUAUGGGUCACUCAAAUUUCAGGUAACCAUAAAUUAACAAAGUUCUUUAAAUGAAUCAGAAAAACAAGGGAACAAACAACAACACUUUUGACACACAAAAGAGAAUGAGAAAAGUGACAGACGAUAUAUUAGGUUUCCUUUUGCUGUGAAAUAUAUUCUCAUAUAUGUAGAAGCUGAUUCUCUUUUAGUGGUUGUAGUGGUUUGAAUGAAAAUGGCCCCCAUAGGCUCAUCCUAUUGGGAGGUGUGACCUUGUUGGAGGAAGUGUGUCACUAGGUUGGGCUUUGAGGUUUCAAAUGCCCAAGCCAGGCCCAGUGUCACUCUCUCUUUCUGUUGCUUUUGGAUUCAGAUGUGGAGCUACCUCUCCAGCCUUCUGUCUGCCUGCAGGUGUCUAUGCGUCCCACCAUGAUGACACUGUACUAAACCUCUGAAACGG
rnacentral:lncRNA from 1 species